ACGAACGCUGGCGGCGUGCUUCACACAUGCAAGUCGAACGAUGAAGCGCCUUCCUUUUUGGUGGGUGUGGAUGAGUGGCGAACGGGUGAGUAACACGUGAGUAACCUGCCCCCUUCUUCUGGAUAACCGCAUGAAAGUGUGGCUAAUACGGGAUAUUCUGGGUCUGUCGCAUGAUGGGUCUGGGAAAGAUAUUGUUUCGGUGGGGGAUGGGCUCGCGGCCUAUCAGCUUGUUGGUGGGGUGAUGGCCUACCAAGGCGGUGACGGGUAGCCGGCCUGAGAGGGUGGACGGUCACACUGGGACUGAGACACGGCCCAGACUCCUACGGGAGGCAGCAGUGGGGAAUAUUGCACAAUGGGCGCAAGCCUGAUGCAGCGACGCCGCGUGAGGGAUGGAGGCCUUCGGGUUGUGAACCUCUUUCGCCAGUGAAGCAGGCCUGCCUCGUUUGUGGGUGGGUUGACGGUAGCUGGAUAAGAAGCGCCGGCUAACUACGUG
rnacentral:rRNA from 1 species